rnacentral:lncRNA from 1 species
AGUGAUUCAAGCCUUUUAUAAUGCAUAAACCAUAGUGUUUAUGUGUCAUUGGAGCAUAUAUUUUGGGUCCAAUCAAUGACAAAGACAAGUCAUCCCUCAAAUUAUGAGGUAAUGCACUACAACCUUAGAUGUAUUGCCUAAGUCCAAAAACUUACUGUAAAUAACUUAUCAAUUUACAAGGAACUCAUGACUUGGAUCUUCCAUACAACUCUUAAUGCG